rnacentral:rRNA from 1 species
UGCUAUCGGAUUGAUACUAAGCCAUGCGAGUCUUUGUAGUAAUACAAGGCAGACGGCUCAGUAACACGUAGUCAAUCUAACCUAUGGACGGGGAUAACCUCGGGAAACUGAGAAUAAUACCCGAUAGAUCAUUAUGCCUGGAAUGGUUUAUGGUCGAAAUGAUUUAUCGCCGUAGGGUGGGACUGCGUUCUAUCAGCUUGUUGGUGAGGUAAUGGCCCACCAAGGCUAUAACAGAUACGGGCCCUGAGAGGAGAAGCCCGGAGAUGGGUACUGAGACACGGACCCAGGCCCUAUGGGGCGCAGCAGGCGAGAAAACUUUGCAAUGUGCGAAAGCACGACAAGGUUAAUCCGAGUGUUUUCUGCUAAAGAAAUCUUUUGUCAGUCCUAAAAACACUGAUGAAUAAGGGGUGGGCAAGUUCUGGUGUCAGCCGCCGCGGUAAAACCAGCACCUCAAGUGGUCAGGAGGAUUAUUGGGCCUAAAGCAUCCGUAGCCGGCUCUGUAAGUUUUCGGUUAAAUCUAUACGCUCAACGUAUAGGCUGCCGGGAAUACUGCAGAGCUAGGGAGUGGGAGAGGUAGACGGUACUCGGUAGGAAGGGGUAAAAUCCUUUGAUCUAUUGAUGACCACCUGUGGCGAAGGCGGUCUACUAGAACACGUCCGACGGUGAGGGAUGAAAGCUGGGGGA